GAAGGCACUUCUCUGGGCCGCUACUGACGCUGAGGAGCGAAAGCGUGGGGAGCGAACAGGAUUAGAUACCCUGGUAGUCCACGCCGUAAACGUUGGGCGCUAGAUGUGGGUCACAUUCCACGUGAUCCGUGUCGCAGCUAACGCAUUAAGCGCCCCGCCUGGGGAGUACGGCCGCAAGGCUAAAACUCAAAGGAAUUGACGGGGGCCCGCACAAGCGGCGGAGCAUGCGGAUUAAUUCGAUGCAACGCGAAGAACCUUACCAAGGCUUGACAUAUAGAGGAAAACUGCAGAAAUGUAGUCCCCGCAAGGUCUCUAUACAGGUGGUGCAUGGUUGUCGUCAGCUCGUGUCGUGAGAUGUUGGGUUAAGUCCCGCAACGAGCGCAACCCUCGUCCUAUGUUGCCAGCACGUUAUGGUGGGAACUCAUGGGAGACUGCCGGGGUCAACUCGGAGGAAGGUGGGGAUGACGUCAAAUCAUCAUGCCCCUUAUGUCUUGGGCUUCACGCAUGCUACAAUGGCCGGUACAAAGGGCUGCAAUACCGCAAGGUGGAGCGAAUCCCAAAAAGCCGGUCUCAGUUCGGAUUGAGGUCUGCAACUCGACCUCAUGAAGUCGGAGUCGCUAGUAAUCGCAGAUAAGCAACACUGCGGUGAAUACGUUCCCGGGCCUUGUACACACCGCCCGUCAAGUCACGAAAGUCGGUAACACCACGAAGCCGUGGCCUAACCGUAAGGAAGG
rnacentral:rRNA from 1 species